UCUUGCACUGCCUGGUCACGGACC
rnacentral:piRNA from 1 species